UUUGGUGAAUUGUAUCCUCUGGUAACAUUUGGGGAAAAAAAGUCUAUGGGAGUCUCUUGAGUUCCAUUUCUCCAGAGACCAUACCACCUACCUCCGGUGGGGGAAGGGUUGUCAGCAGGUAAAGACGGAACGUCGAGUUAUAACUGACUCUAACACAGACUUCAAAUAAUCCCUGUUUUCAGCCUCUCUCCUUACCUGUGCCAUCUUGGUGUUUCCAGUGUCUGAAUAUUUCCAGAGUUUAACAUGGUGACUUAGCUUGCUUCUCAUUGAUAGUGCCAUUGAGGCAUUAUUUUGACCCUCCUGCACCCUGUUGGUCCGUCUUGUUUCUGCAUUUGUGUAUUACAGCAUAAGGUUAUAGGCGUUUCCUAAUGCUAUUGAAUUUAGCUUCAAUAGCAAGUUUGUGUUUCUGUUUCUCAUCCUGCUUACAGUUUGGGGUAAUUUUGGAGAAAAUAAGGAGACAGAAAUGUCUUUACUGUCUUGAAACAUGAAUAUGUUGGUAUUAACUUUUACAUCAGAAUACCUUAGGAAUGGGACGUUGUACUCUGUGGCUAAAUAAAAUAACACCUGGAUAUUAAAGAAACCCAGAAAGCCUUCUUUUUCUUUUUACAAUAAUUGGGUUUGGUUUUCUUGGAAGUCUGAACUCC
rnacentral:lncRNA from 1 species